UAUCAUUAACUGAAUCCAUAGGUUAAUGAGGCGAACCGGGGGAACUGAAACAUCUAAGUACCCCGAGGAAAAGAAAUCAACCGAGAUUCCCCCAGUAGCGGCGAGCGAACGGGGAGGAGCCCAGAGCCUGAAUCAGUGUGUGUGUUAGUGGAAGCGUCUGGAAAGGCGCGCGAUACAGGGUGACAGCCCCGUACACAAAAAUGCACAUGCUGUGAGCUCGAUGAGUAGGGCGGGACACGUGGUAUCCUGUCUGAAUAUGGGGGGACCAUCCUCCAAGGCUAAAUACUCCUGACUGACCGAUAGUGAACCAGUACCGUGAGGGAAAGGCGAAAAGAACCCCGGCGAGGGGAGUGAAAAAGAACCUGAAACCGUGUACGUACAAGCAGUGGGAGCCUCUUUAUGGGGUGACUGCGUACCUUUUGUAUAAUGGGUCAGCGACUUAUAUUCUGUAGCAAGGUUAACCGAAUAGGGGAGCCGAAGGGAAACCGAGUCUUAACUGGGCGUUAAGUUGCAGGGUAUAGACCCGAAACCCGGUGAUCUAGCCAUGGGCAGGUUGAAGGUUGGGUAACACUAACUGGAGGACCGAACCGACUAAUGUUGAAAAAUUAGCGGAUGACUUGUGGCUGGGGGUGAAAGGCCAAUCAAACCGGGAGAUAGCUGGUUCUCCCCGAAAGCU
rnacentral:rRNA from 1 species